rnacentral:tRNA from 2 species
GGACUCGUAACUCAGCGGUAGAGUGCUUCGUUCACAUCGAAGAAGUCAGAGGUUCGAAUCCUCUCGAGUCCACAA